CCUACGGGAGGCAGCGGUCUGAGAGGAUGAUCAGCCACAUUGGGACUGAGACACGGCCCAAACUAGUGGGGAAUCUUGCGCAAUGGGCGAAAGCCUGACGCAGCCAUGCCGCGUGAAUGAUGAAGGUCUUAGGAUUGUAAAAUUCUUUCACCGGGGACGAUAAUGACGGUACCCGGAGAAGAAGCCCCGGCUAACUUCGUGCCAGCAGCCGCGGUAAUACGAAGGGGGCUAGCGUUGCUCGGAAUUACUGGGCGUAAAGGGAGCGUAGGCGGAUAGUUUAGUCAGAGGUGAAAGCCCAGGGCUCAACCUUGGAAUUGCCUUUGAUACUGGCUAUCUUGAGUACGGAAGAGGUAUGUGGAACUCCGAGUGUAGAGGUGAAAUUCGUAGAUAUUCGGAAGAACACCAGUGGCGAAGGCGACAUACUGGUCCGUUACUGACGCUGAGGCUCGAAAGCGUGGGGAGCAAACAGGAUUAGAUACCCUGGUAGUCCACGCUGUAAACGAUGAGUGCUAGUUGUCGGCAGGCAUGCCUGUCGGUGACGCAGCUAACGCAUUAAGCACUCCGCCUGGGGAGUACGGUCGCAAGAUUAAAACUCAAAGGAAUUGACGGGGGCCCGCACAAGCGGUGGAGCAUGUGGUUU
rnacentral:rRNA from 1 species